CGGGAGCAGAAACAUGAUAAACUGUGUCACCAGUGUCGUAAAUCGGGACACAUUACGAAAUAUUGUUGAGCCUCUCAACCACAAUCUACUAGUUGAUACAAAUUCAAAGCAAACUUCUCGAAAGAUAUCUCAGGGGAACCUCAUCUUACAUCACGAGAAAUACAAGAGGCAGUGAACAUUUUCUCUAUAGCUUCAUCACACGACAAGGAAUGGGUGAUAGACAGCUGAAUGUCAAGGCAUUUCUCCGGGGAUCAAGAACUCUUUUUCAGCAUCAAAAAACCAUCUACCGACAUGUUGUAGCUACGGCAGACUAUAGAAUGCACAUAGUGAAGGGGCAAGGAGAUGCACAACAUUUGAAUUCAAACAAUGAAAUAAUUCUCAAAAAUAUUUUGUAUGUGCCGGAUUUCAAAAUAGAAUUUCAUAUCUGUGAGACAAUACAUAAGAAACAAUAACCAGACUUAGAUAUUCAGAAAAGAAUAAUGUAUUCUGAUUUCUGAUUCAUAUCCUAGAACAUUCUUUGAAAUAGGUCACUGGGAUAGCAAGACUCGGCUGUACAAACUCAACCUCAA
rnacentral:lncRNA from 1 species